AGUGAACGCUGGCGGUAUGCCUAACACAUGCAAGUCGAACGGCAGCACAGUAAGAGCUUGCUCUUACGGGUGGCGAGUGUCGGACGGGUGAGGAAUACAUCGGAAUCUACUUUUUCGUGGGGGAUAACGUAGGGAAACUUACGCUAAUACCGCAUACGACCUACGGGUGAAAGCAGGGGAUCUUCGGACCUUGCGCGAUUGAAUGAGCCGAUGUCGGAUUAGCUAGUUGGCGGGGUAAAGGCCCACCAAGGCGACGAUCCGUAGCUGGUCUGAGAGGAUGAUCAGCCACACUGGAACUGAGACACGGUACAGACUCCUACGGGAGGCAGCAGUGGGGAAUAUUGGACAAUGGGCGCAAGCCUGAUCCAGCAAUACCGCGUGGGUGAAGAAGGACUUCGGGUUGUAAAGCCCUUUUGUUGGGAAAGAAAAGCAGCAGGUUAAUACCCCGCUGUUCUGACGGUACCCAAAGAAUAAGCACCGGCUAACUUCGUG
rnacentral:rRNA from 1 species